rnacentral:snoRNA from 1 species
AUCCCAUGGUGUGGACACUUACCCAGCAUAUUCUUGAAUCGAUUCCAGGCUUCAUUGAAAUUUUCUGAGCCGCCUUCGCAAAAAACAGAGAUGCCAUGCUUGAGCUU